AUAUCUUUUGAGUCGACACUCACAUGUAACAUUUCACUCCUCGCUCAAUACACUCACCUCUAUCACUCAACUUCACCUCUCUCCGUUAAACCUCACCUCUCUGCUCAAACUCACCGGCGAUUAGGUAAAUCAAGGAUCCUCUACCCUCAAACUCACAUCUCAAUCGCUUAAAGUUUUGUUUCAGGUCGUCAAUUGGGACUUCGAUUGUCUUCGAUUGAAUUGGGGGCUUCAUUGGAACUAGGGUUUCAAAACUUUUCAUUUAUUUGGGGCUUCGAUUUGCUUGGAUAUAAGGAAAGUGAAAGUGGUUGUAAUCUUCCACACCCACAUUUCAGAUGCAUCUGCUCUAUUAGAGAUUAGCACAAAAACUGGUACACAAGCUAUUUACAUAUUUGUAUUAUGCUUCUUCGUUUGUAGUUGUAGUAAUAUUUUUUAUUUAAUUAUGUUUUUCCCCUUUAGUGCCGCCCUGUAUAUUUGCCAGGUUGAAUUGUGACCUUCAACAGAUUAUUGGAUGCAUCAGAUCACUGCCAUCUGAUAAUUUGACUAAAGCUGAGAUCCUGAAUUGGGGGGAGCUCGAUGAUUUUAUAAUACAAAAGAUUUGGUGGCGAAGAUAGUCAGAUAAAAGUUGAUGUAUAGUUGUAAAAGUUGAUGUAUAGUUGUAUUUGGUGGUUGAAUUUGUUUAAUACUUUGAUUUAGUUAGAUUUGUUAGGUAGUUUGGUUUGGUUGGAUUUGUUAUAAACUUUGGUUUGUAUGGAAAAAUAGUUUAAUGUUGUAGUUGAUAUAGUAAAAGGUUGCAAAGUUAUUAUUUAA